rnacentral:lncRNA from 1 species
UUUGCUUUACACAUACCUGAUUACUUGCUACCGAAAACCGAAAGAGAGGUAAUCCAUAUGGUGAAGCAUGAGAAAGAGGGAUUGCUUCAAACCGGAAUAAAUCGAUUCCACCCACACUUGAGUGAGCUAUCAGGCUCCACACAUUCGUCGGCCAACCACUUCUUUCGAAAAGUAAAUCAAAAGGCGAACAUUCUCUGGCUUCAUUGAAUGUCACACUUUUGAAAGCGAGUCAAGCAUUCCAAUCCCCGCGGAUGAGUCAAUAGCAGCAGAGUCAUGAAAAGAGCUAAAAGCAGCCUUUCUCUAUAUACGAAACCACCAG